CUCUGAAGCAUUUACCGAUGUACCACAUGUACAGUCUGCUAUCGAUGUCCGAUUAUCCGAUUAUCGAUAUCGCUCUACUCUACACAAAGUACCCUGAAGGUACCGUACCCUGCAGUGGAGAUGCUCUGUUUCUAGUGUGAUUCUGGUAACUAGCGAAGGUACGCCCCAACCAACAUUUGUGUUGCGUUAGCGCAGAGACCUGUUUCUCGCGAAUCAUCUAGAAGUCUGCCCCAGUGAAGCAGCUCUCACUCCACUGCUCCAGAAGGUGAGAAGGUAUCCAAAACCAUUCCAUUCGAAAGAGAAGCAGGAUGCAGAAGACAGCCCGAUGAAAAUCAAUUUGAUGCCCACAGUCGACCCAGGCAAAGCAGCACCCGGUCAACACUGUUUUUUUGGCAGUUUAGUCGUGUGAUUAUUUCACCUUCAGAUCUCAGCUCAAACAAGAGAACCCGCCGAAUUUAAGCAUAUUAUUAAGCGGAGGAAAAGAAACUAACUAGGAUUCCCCCAGUAAGGGCGACUGAAGCGGGAAGAGCUCAAGAUGAAAAUCUGCGCUAUGCGCCGAAUUGUGGUCUGAAGACUGUGGUGCUAUCAGCCGGGCCAAGUCCCUUGGAACAGGGCAGCUGAGAGGGUGAGACUCCCGUUCGCCCGGCAGAGUGAACCAUUAGUCGACGAGUCGGGUUGUUUGGGAUUGCAGCUCAAAGUGGGUGGUAAAUUCCAUCUAAAGCUAAAUACAGGUGGGAGACCGAUAGCGUACAAGUACCGUGAGGGAAAGAUGCAAAGAACUUUGAAAAGAGAGUUAAAGAGUACCUGAAACUGCUGAAAAGGAAGCGAAGGAAACCAGUGUUGGCUUGGUCAUACUUCCCUGACCGCUUGCGGUUUGGGCGCUGUGUCCAGCUGUAGUUGUUUGGGAUUGAGGUCCUUGGAAGAGCGCAGCAAGAGUUGAUUACUGCUGCUGGCAUCGACCUCGAUCCAAAGACGAA
rnacentral:rRNA from 1 species